AUUGAACGCUGGCGGCAGGCCUAACACAUGCAAGUCGAGCGAGCGGCGGACGGGUGAGUAAUGUAUGGGGACUGCCCGAUAGAGGGGGAUAACUACUGGAAACGGUAGCUAAUCCCGCAUACUAUCGGAUAACCCAUAUGGGAUUAGCUAGUAGGUGAGGUAAUGUCUCACCUAGGCGCCGAUCCCUAGCUGGUCUGGGCGGAUGAUCAGCCACACUGGGACUGGGACACGGCCCAGACUCCUACGGAGGCAGCAGUGGGGAAUAUUGCACAAUGGGCGCAAGCCUGAUGAAGCCAUGCCGCGUGUAUGAAGAAGGCCCUAGGGUUGUAAAGUACUUUCAGUCGGGAGGCGUUACCGACAGAAGAAGCACCGGCUAAAUCCGUGCCAGCAGGCGCGGUAAUUC
rnacentral:rRNA from 1 species